GACGAACGCUGGCGGCGUGCUUAACACAUGCAAGUCGAACGAGAAUCUGAUGAAGGAGUUUUCGGACAACGGAUUCAGAGGACAGUGGCGGACGGGUGAGUAACGCGUGAGGAACCUGCCUUUCAGAGGGGGACAACAGUUGGAAACGACUGCUAAUACCGCAUAACACAUCGGAGUCGCAUGGCUCUGAUGUCAAAGAUUUAUCGCUGAAAGAUGGCCUCGCGUCUGAUUAGCUAGUUGGUGAGGUAACGGCCCACCAAGGCGACGAUCAGUAGCCGGACUGAGAGGUUGAACGGCCACAUUGGGACUGAGAUACGGCCCAGACUCCUACGGGAGGCAGCAGUGGGGAAUAUUGGGCAAUGGGCGCAAGCCUGACCCAGCAACGCCGCGUGAAGGAAGAAGGGCUUUCGGGUUGUAAACUUCUUUUGUUCAGGGACGAGUAGAAGACGGUACCUGACGAAUAAGCCACGGCUAACUACGUG
rnacentral:rRNA from 1 species